GCUGUAGCUCAGUAAUACAGCACCUGCUUUUCAUGCAGAAGGUUCCAAGUUCAACCCCUGGCAUUUCCA